GGUCUCUUGGCCCAGUUGGUUAAGGCAUCGUGCUAAUACAACUCCUAGCAGUUAACGCGAGGAUCGGCGGUUCGAUCCCGCCAGAGACCA